rnacentral:piRNA from 1 species
AAGAGGGAGAGUCUCCAGGUUAC